AGAGUUUGAUCAUGGCUCAGGAUGAACGCUGGCGGCGUGCCUAAUACAUGCAAGUCGAACGCACAGCGAAAGGUGCUUGCACCUUUCAAGUGAGUGGCGAACGGGUGAGUAACACGUGGACAACCUGCCUCAAGGCUGGGGAUAACAUUUGGAAACAGAUGCUAAUACCGAAUAAAACUCAGUGUCGCAUGACACAAAGUUAAAAGGCGCUUUGGCGUCACCUAGAGAUGGAUCCGCGGUGCAUUAGUUAGUUGGUGGGGUAAAGGCCUACCAAGACAAUGACGCAUAGCCGAGUUGAGAGACUGAUCGGCCACAUUGGGACUGAGACACGGCCCAAACUCCUACGGGAGGCUGCAGUAGGGAAUCUUCCACAAUGGGCGAAAGCCUGAUGGAGCAACGCCGCGUGUGUGAUGAAGGCUUUCGGGUCGUAAAGCACUGUUGUAUGGGAAGAACAGCUAGAAUAGGGAAUGAUUUUAGUUUGACGGUACCAUACCAGAAAGGGACGGCUAAAUACGUGCCAGCAGCCGCGGUAAUACGUAUGUCCCGAGCGUUAUCCGGAUUUAUUGGGCGUAAAGCGAGCGCAGACGGUUGAUUAAGUCUGAUGUGAAAGCCCGGAG
rnacentral:rRNA from 1 species